GGUUAAGCGACUAAGCGUACACGGUGGAUGCCCUGGCAGUCAGAGGCGAUGAAGGACGUGCUAAUCUGCGAAAAGCGUCGGUAAGGUGAUAUGAACCGUUAUAGCCGGCGAUGUCCGAAUGGGGAAACCCAGUGCAAUUCGUUGCACUAUCGUUAACUGAAUACAUAGGUUAACGAGGCGAACCGGGGGAACUGAAACAUCUAAGUACCCCGAGGAAAAGAAAUCAACCGAGAUUCCCCCAGUAGCGGCGAGCGAACGGGGAGCAGCCCGGAGUCUGAAUCAGCUUGUGUGUUAGUGGAAGCGUCUGGAAAGUCGCAGGGUACAGGGUGAUACUCCCGUACACUAAAACACACAGGCUGUGAACUCGAAGAGUAGGGCGGGACACGUGGUAUCCUGUCUGAAUAUGGGGGGACCAUCCUCCAAGGCUAAAUACUCCUGACUGACCGAUAGUGAACCAGUACCGUGAGGGAAAGGCGAAAAGAACCCCGGCGAGGGGAGUGAAAAAGAACCUGAAACCGUGUACGUACAAGCAGUAGGAGCCCACUAGUUGGGUGACUGCGUACCUUUUGUAUAAUGGGUCAGCGACUUAUAUUCUGUAGCAAGGUUAACCGAAUAGGGGAGCCGCAGGGAAACCGAGUCUUAACUGGGCGUUAAGUUGCAGGGUAUAGACCCGAAACCCGGUGAUCUAGCCAUGGGCAGGUUGAAGGUUGGGUAACACUAACUGGAGGACCGAACCGACUAAUGUUGAAAAAUUAGCGGAUGACUUGUGGCUGGGGGUGAAAGGCCAAUCAAACCGGGAGAUAGCUGGUUCUCCCCGAAAGCUAUUUAGGUAGCGCCUCGUGAAUUCAUCUUCGGGGGUAGAGCACUGUUUCGGCUAGGGGGUCAUCCCGACUUACCAACCCGAUGCAAACUACGAAUACCGAAGAAUGUUAUCACGGGAGACACACGGCGGGUGCUAACGUCCGUCGUGAAGAGGGAAACAACCCAGACCGCCAGCUAAGGUCCCAAAGUCAUGGUUAAGUGGGAAACGAUGUGGGAAGGCCCAGACAGCCAGGAUGUUGGCUUAGAAGCAGCCAUCAUUUAAAGAAAGCGUAAUAGCUCACUGGUCGAGUCGGCCUGCGCGGAAGAUGUAACGGGGCUAAACCAUGCACCGAAGCUGCGGCAGCGACACUAUGUGUUGUUGGGUAGGGGAGCGUUCUGUAAGCCGUUGAAGGUGGCCUGUGAGGGUUGCUGGAGGUAUCAGAAGUGCGAAUGCUGACAUAAGUAACGAUAAUGCGGGUGAAAAACCCGCACGCCGGAAGACCAAGGGUUCCUGUCCAACGUUAAUCGGGGCAGGGUGAGUCGACCCCUAAGGCGAGGCCGAAAGGCGUAGUCGAUGGGAAACAGGUUAAUAUUCCUGUACUUGGUGUUACUGCGAAGGGGGGACGGAGAAGGCUAUGUUGGCCGGGCGACGGUUGUCCCGGUUUAAGCAUGUAGGCGGAUGUUCCAGGUAAAUCCGGAACGUUACUAACGCUGAGGUGUGAUGACGAGGCACUACGGUGCUGAAGUGACAAAUGCCCUGCUUCCAGGAAAAGCCUCUAAGCAUCAGGUAACAUCAAAUCGUACCCCAAACCGACACAGGUGGUCAGGUAGAGAAUACCAAGGCGCUUGAGAGAACUCGGGUGAAGGAACUAGGCAAAAUGGUGCCGUAACUUCGGGAGAAGGCACGCUGAUGGUAGGUGAAGCGACUUGCUCGUGGAGCUGAAAUCAGUCGAAGAUACCAGCUGGCUGCAACUGUUUAUUAAAAACACAGCACUGUGCAAACACGAAAGUGGACGUAUACGGUGUGACGCCUGCCCGGUGCCGGAAGGUUAAUUGAUGGGGUUAUCCUCGCGGAGAAGCUCUUGAUCGAAGCCCCGGUAAACGGCGGCCGUAACUAUAACGGUCCUAAGGUAGCGAAAUUCCUUGUCGGGUAAGUUCCGACCUGCACGAAUGGCGUAAUGAUGGCCAGGCUGUCUCCACCCGAGACUCAGUGAAAUUGAACUCGCUGUGAAGAUGCAGUGUACCCGCGGCAAGACGGAAAGACCCCGUGAACCUUUACUAUAGCUUGACACUGAACACUGGUCCUUGAUGUGUAGGAUAGGUGGGAGGCUUUGAAGUGUGGACGCCAGUCUGCAUGGAGCCAUCCUUGAAAUACCACCCUUUAAUGGCUGGUGUUCUAACGUGGGCCCGUGAUCCGGGUUGCGGACAGUGUCUGGUGGGUAGUUUGACUGGGGCGGUCUCCUCCUAAAGAGUAACGGAGGAGCACGAAGGUCAGCUAAUCCUGGUCGGACAUCAGGAGGUUAGUGCAAUGGCAUAAGCUGGCUUGACUGCGAGCGUGACGGCGCGAGCAGGUGCGAAAGCAGGUCAUAGUGAUCCGGUGGUUCUGAAUGGAAGGGCCAUCGCUCAACGGAUAAAAGGUACUCCGGGGAUAACAGGCUGAUACCGCCCAAGAGUUCAUAUCGACGGCGGUGUUUGGCACCUCGAUGUCGGCUCAUCACAUCCUGGGGCUGAAGUAGGUCCCAAGGGUAUGGCUGUUCGCCAUUUAAAGUGGUACGCGAGCUGGGUUUAGAACGUCGUGAGACAGUUCGGUCCCUAUCUGCCGUGGGCGCUGGAGAAUUGAGGGGGGCUGCUCCUAGUACGAGAGGACCGGAGUGGACGCAUCACUGGUGUUCGGGUUGUCAUGCCAAUGGCAUUGCCCGGUAGCUAAAUGCGGAAGAGAUAAGUGCUGAAAGCAUCUAAGCACGAAACUUGCCCCGAGAUGAGUUCUCCCUGACUCCUUGAGAGUCCUGAAGGAACGUUGAAGACGACGACGUUGAUAGGCCGGGUGUGUAAGCGCAGCGAUGCGUUGAGCUAACCGGUACUAAUGAACCGUGAGGCUUAACCUU
rnacentral:rRNA from 1 species